CGCGUAGGCGGAUGUGACAGUCAGGCGUGAAAUUCCUGGGCUCAACCUGGGGGCUGCGUUUGAUACGUUAUGUCUGGAGUUCGGAAGAGGGUCGUGGAAUUCCCAGUGUAGAGGUGAAAUUCGUAGAUAUUGGGAAGAACACCGGUGGCGAAGGCGGCGACCUGGUCCUGGACUGACGCUGAGGCGCGAAAGCGUGGGGAAGCAAACAG
rnacentral:rRNA from 1 species